UGAGGAAUAUUGGUCAAUGGACGGAAGUCUGAACCAGCCAUGCCGCGUGCAGGAAGACGGCCCUAUGGGUUGUAAACUGCUUUUAUUUGGGAAUAAACUCCGGUACGUGUACCGGCCUGAAUGUACCAAAUGAAUAAGCACCGGCUAACUCCGUGCCAGCAGCCGCGGUAAUACGGAGGGUGCAAGCGUUAUCCGGAAUCAUUGGGUUUAAAGGGUCCGCAGGCGGAUUUGUAAGUCAGUGGUGAAAGCCUACGGCUUAACUGUAGAACUGCCAUUGAUACUGCAAGUCUUGAAUUCGGUCGAAGUGGGCGGAAUAUGUCAUGUAGCGGUGAAAUGCUUAGAUAUGACAUAGAACACCGAUAGCGAAGGCAGCUCACUAGGCCUGGAUUGACGCUCAUGGACGAAAGCGUGGGUAGCGAACAGGAUUAGAUACCCUGGUAGUCCACGCCGUAAACUAUGAUUACUCGUUUUCGGCGAUACACAGUCGGAGACUAAGCGAAAGUGAUAAGUAAUCCACCUGGGGAGUACGAUCGCAAGGUUG
rnacentral:rRNA from 1 species